AGAGUUUGAUCAUGGCUCAGAUUGAACGCUGGCGGCAUGCCUUACACAUGCAAGUCGAACGGCAGCACGGGAGCAAUCCUGGUGGCGAGUGGCGAACGGGUGAGUAAUAUAUCGGAACGUGCCCAGUCGUGGGGGAUAACGUAGCGAAAGCUACGCUAAUACCGCAUACGAUCUACGGAUGAAAGCGGGGGAUCGCAAGACCUCGCGCGAUUGGAGCGGCCGAUAUCAGAUUAGCUAGUUGGUGGGGUAAAAGCCCACCAAGGCGACGAUCUGUAGCUGGUCUGAGAGGACGACCAGCCACACUGGAACUGAGACACGGUCCAGACUCCUACGGGAGGCAGCAGUGGGGAAUUUUGGACAAUGGGCGCAAGCCUGAUCCAGCAAUGCCGCGUGCAGGAUGAAGGCCUUCGGGUUGUAAACUGCUUUUGUACGGAACGAAACGGCUCUUUCUAAUAAAGAGAGCUAAUGACGGUACCGUAAGAAUAAGCACCGGCUAACUACGUGCCAGCAGCCGCGGUAAUACGUAGGGUGCGAGCGUUAAUCGGAAUUACUGGGCGUAAAGCGUGCGCAGGCGGUUAUAUAAGACAGAUGUGAAAUCCCCGGGCUCAACCUGGGACCUGCAUUUGUGACUGUAUAGCUAGAGUACGGUAGAGGGGGAUGGAAUUCCGCGUGUAGCAGUGAAAUGCGUAGAUAUGCGGAGGAACACCGAUGGCGAAAGCAAUCCCCUGGACCUGUACUGACGCUCAUGCACGAAAGCGUGGGGAGCAAACAGGAUUAGAUACCCUGGUAGUCCACGCCCUAAACGAUGU
rnacentral:rRNA from 1 species